rnacentral:rRNA from 1 species
UUCCCUUAGUAAUGGCGAAUGAAACGGGAAAAGCCCAUCGCAUAAUCUCCAGGGUCUACCAAGCCUGCGGCGAAAUGUUGCGUUUAGGGAAAGGUCGAUUGCAGCCUCGUAUGCCCGUUGAUGUGCCUAACCGCGUUUUGAAAUACUCGCGCACGUUGGGUGUGUCGUCUCUCGGGAUGAUCGCUCGACUCACGGUUCCUUAGAGGGUGCAAGUCCCGUUCGGCCGCGUGUUGAUGCAAGCGAUGGCUAGACCUCUAUUCCCUGASAGUCGCGUUGUUUGAACGUACAGCGCUAAGAAGGUGGUAAACUCCACCUAAGGCUAAAUAUAUCCACAGAACCGAUAGCUAACAAGUACCGCGAGGGAAAGUUGAAAAGUACUCUGGAGAGAGGGUGCAAAGACCGUGAAACCAUCCAGGGCAAAAGCCAAUGUCGAGUAUCCUAGUUGCGCUGGGGCCGCCCUUCGGGGUGAAGGUGUGCAAGAGCUCGAGGGUCGAGUUACGCUUAAUUGCGUUUCGGCUUUCAGCUCGUAAUGCGCGCACCUCCCGUGUCCAUCAACAGCCCGUCGCAACUCUUGUGAGGUCACUCGCGGUAAUCAGUGUCAGAUACUCUGCGUCCGUGAAGGGCAUGGUUCUGUCGAGGGUCGUGUUGGGGCAGUCAACCCAGUAGAGAGUAUUCCUCUUGCGAGGUUUCUAUCGAAGAGUUUCUGUCUUGCGCGCCGGUACGCUUAUACCCUUAAAGUUCCUCUGCCUGGACUGUUGGAGCCUUUCGCUCGGUUGCCAAAGCGUUUACGAUCCUCUGCGAGAGUUGUCGGAUGACGCGCGCCGCUUGCGGCGCGUAUACGACGGAAACUUGCCUAGGUGACAUUGGUCACGUCUCGAAACACGGGCCAAGGAGCAUAGCGUAAAGGCGAGUCAAAAGGUAUCACGAAACCUUGUGGCGAGUUAAAGCGAGUGGCGUUCGACAUUGUGUCGUUCGUUGGUGAAACUCUAGGGAUUCCAGCAAUGAGUUCCCGAGAGUGGAGCCGCUUUAUUGUCAGGGCCGAUCCUCCAGUUCUUUGCGAAUGAAGAGGCGCACGCUCCAGGUUCGCUCUCAGUACAUUUGCUUGGGCUUCGGCCCUUGUAAGUGUCGGAGUGAGCACUGCCUAGCCCUUCCGCUAUGACCCGAAAGAUAGUGAACUAUGCUUGGCGAAGACGAAGCCCCAGGAAACUGUGGUGGAAGUCUGUAGCCGUCCUGACGUGCAAAUCGGUGGCGUCAGCUGAGUAUAGGGGCGAAAGACCAAUCGAACUAUCUAGUAGCUGGUUCCAUUCGAAGUUUCUCUCAGGAUAGCUUGGGCGACUUAAACGCUCUAGUCUGAACUCUCGUUACACCAAAGCGUAUCGGUAGUUUGCCUCCGUCUGUCUGUUGUUGAGGGCCGGUAUGCCAGGCUCGUAAGCACUCACUCUCGGAUUCAGGGGUAGCGUAUCACGAUUACAGUGAGCAGUUACGUCUGGUAAAGAGAAUGACUAGAGUCGGCUCGUUGCUCUUUGUGGCAACAGCAGCGGGGCGUUCUACGCCUCGCACUAUUAUCAAACUUUAAAUGGGCGAGGGACUCGGCAUUGCUUAAUAGACUGAUGCCGAGACGCGAUGUUGUUCUCAAUCGUUGAGUUCGCGGCGAAUGCGCGCGCCUUAAGUGGGUCCGUUCUGGUAAGCAGAACUGAUAAUGAGGGAUGAACCUAACGCACGUGAUAAGGGGCCAAAGAGACAGCUAUUUCUCGAAACCAUUGGAAAGGUGUUGCUUGCUGAAGACAGCAKGACGGUGGUCAUGGAAGUUGACAUCCGCUAAGGAGUGUGUAACAACUCAUCCUGCCGAAGCGAGUAACCCUGAAAAUGGAUGGCUCUAUAGCUCUCUCCCGAUGCACGGCCGUCAUUGSCACGUUUGGCUUAAGUGUCUCAAUGCCAUGACGAGUAGAAUGGUGUGCUGGUACGCGUCGAAGACCUUAGCGUGAGCUUGGUCCGAGCUGCCAGCAGUGCAGAUCUUGGUGGUAGUAGCAAGUACUCUGGUGAAUAACCUUGAGCUGUGAGGCUGAUAAGGGUUCCAUGUCAACAGCGUUUGUACAUGGGUAAGCCGAUCCUAAGCCCCCUUUAUCCCUAAAGGUGAUUGCGAAUGCGAAAGAAUACGCGAUGAAAACACGUGGGGUAUGGUCUUACCCUGUCGUGGCUAGUCGUGGGUGGCAAUCAAUGCGUUUGGCUGAAAGGUACUCGUGACGUGCAACUAGCAUUGGAAAGGUGUCUGAGAGAUCUGGUGAUUGGCCGAGCUUUCGAAAGGCUACAACGAUGUUGUGUGUGAUUCACAUCUUCGGACGAACGUUGUAGCUCGAGUAGAUAGUUGUUGGUUCAUUCAUCUUCUCUUGUCGGAUGAGACUCCUUUUCAUGUGCGCGUUUUCCAUUUCCAACGCCAAUACGGUGCUGCCUGCGAUUAGUCCCUCAGUGGAAGACUGUGACAAGCCCUAUCUAGCGUGUUAGUAGUUCGUACCUUAGUGUCGCUUGGCGAAAGGGAACUGUGAACUUAGUUCAUAGGCCUCUCCUGGCACCCUGACGCGGUUUACCGUAUCACGGACCUAGCAAUAGUUGCCAGGCCAGUCGUUACCAUAAGUAGCUCGUCGGGGAGAUUUCUUCUCUCUUUAAUAAGGCGUCCCAUGCCCUGAAAACACCUCGCGUGGCGGAAGGGCGAUGCCUUUUAUAGCAGAGUACUCUACUCCCUCGAGUAGUUCGACGCUACUUGUGGUCCGUGAAAAGGUGGCCGAGGGGAUGAAAACAAAGUAUCGAAGCAUAAGCUCUCUCUCUGGAGGGUCUUUGCCGAUGAUAUACUUUGCACUUUACUCGAAGUGUGAGCCACGGAGUGUACGUACCCAUUUCCGCAUCC